rnacentral:rRNA from 1 species
GUAGACGCUAUUCCCUAAGAUUAACCCAUGCAUGUUUUUGACAUUUGAAAAAUGGACUGCUCAGUAAUACUCACUUUAUUUUAUGUAAAUUUUUAAUUAACUACGUUAAAGUGUAGAUAAGAUGUUUACAGUAAGAGUGAGACCUAUCAGCUAGUUGUUAAGGUAAUGGCUUAACAAGGCUGUGACGGGUAACGGUAUUACUUUGUAAUAUUCCGGAGAAGGAGCCUGAGAGACGGCUACUAAGUCUAAGGAUUGCAGCAGGGGCGAAACUUGACCUAUGGAUUUUAUCUGAGGCAGUUAUGGGAAGUAAUAUUAUAUUGUUUCAUAUUUUAAAAGUAUAUGAGGUGAUUAAUUGGAGGGCAAAUCAAGUGCCAGCAGCCGCGGUAAUACUUGUUCCAAGAGUGUGUAUGAUGAUUGAUGCAGUUAAAAAGUCCGUAGUUUAUUUUUUUAAGAAGCAAUAUAAGGUGUACUGUA